rnacentral:lncRNA from 1 species
GGAAACUGGAAUACAGGGGUUAUCAAGACAUAGAUGACUAUCAAAGCCAAUGUGAGACAAGGUUACAGAGAGGAGGGUGAGUGUUAAUAGAUCAAUAAACACUACUGGUAAUGGGUUUUUGGAGAAGACACUCCCUUUUCUAUCUUUACCUUUUUUCUUUCUCUCACAGGCUGGCAUCGGUGUCAGAGCAGCCACCAAACUAUUUAAAAAUGAAGCAACAGACGAAGAGAGUUCAGUAUGGGCUCAGGACAUGGAUGUCCCUGCAAAACCACAGCUCUGCCAGUAACAGGCCUGCCAUCUGAGCAAACUGCUUCACCUCUCUAAUCCUUAUAUGCCUCAAAUUUAAAAGGUAAGUUGCAAGUCAUC